GGAGUUGGAGUAAGAAGAAAGACCAUCAGAGUGAUGUAUACAUAUAUAUGACAGAAGAAUAAUCGACCUAGAAGCCAAAACAUCACCCUGAUCUACCAAGAAAGCUGACACUGGAAGAGAGGCUGACACGAGAAGACUUCCUAAUCCUGAAUUCUAGAAUGGGAACCUGAAUCUGAGAAGCCAAGGAAAAGAGGAAGCCUCUUGGAAAAGAGGCUAAGCUAAGAAGGUAGAAAGGAGAAGAAAAGGGCAGCAGGCUAGACCGCUGGUGAGAGAGAAUCUCCGUGGCUUGUCUGGUCUGAACUGUACCAUGAGCUGCACCGGAAGUGCUGUUAACCAGGAAGAUGGUGAGAUCGUCCCUGGAGACAGGGUGCAGGUCGAGAGGUACUUCCUCAGCAAGAGUAAGGAGAAUCUCUCUGAGUCCUGGUCACGAAUCUCUCUGAGUCCUGGUCACGUAAAAAUGGGAUGCUUCCUGGCCCUCCCGCUCAGUGGGUGGAGCUGUCACAUGACCAGGCUCCCUUGGAUUCCUCUGCGAGCAGGGCAGAACCAUAGGAGAGAACAGCCGCAGAGGGAUGGGAGCUUGUUGCCUGGCUCCAGGCUCCUCUGCCAGUGCUCCCUGUCCACAGUUUGUAUCCGAAUGACUGAAGACCCAGCCUGGUUGUCAGAUCUGGCGUCUUGUCUCACUGCUGUACCUAACUGGUUAAGAUAACUCUCUAAACGUCUGUAAGUUCAGUUUUACUGUGAAUAAAAAUGAGCAUCC
rnacentral:lncRNA from 1 species